rnacentral:rRNA from 1 species
AGAGUUUGAUUCUGGCUCAGAACGAACGCUGGCAGCGUGGAUUAGGCAUGCAAGUCGAACGGGAAGCCAUGAUUUCAAGUUUUCGGACGAGAAAUUGCGGUGGAGAGUGGCGGAAGGGUGAGUAUCGCGUGGGUAACCUGCCUUUGAGCCGGGGAUAACCCUUCGAAAGGAGGGCUAAUACCGGAUGGGGUCCCCUGGCGCAUGUCGGGGUGACUAAAGAUGGGGAUUCUUCGGAACCUGUCGCUCGAAGAGGGGCCCGCGUCCCAUCAGCUUGUUGGUGAGGUAACGGCUCACCAAGGCUUACGGGUAGCUGGUCUGAGAGGAUGGUCAGCCACACUGGGACUGAGACACUGCCCAGACUCCUACGGGAGGCUGCAGUCGAGGAUCCUUUGCAAUGGGCGAAAGCCUGACAAAGCGACGCUGCGUGGAGGAUGAAGGCCCUCGGGUCGUAAACUCCUGUCAUUCGGGAAAAAUAUCCCGGCCAUGAAUAGUGGUUGGGCUUGAUGGUACCGGAAGAGGAAGCCACGGCUAACUCUGUGCCAGCAGCCGCGGUAAUACAGAGGUGGCGAGCGUUGUUCGGAUUUACUGGGCGUAAAGGGUGCGUAGGUGGUUUUGUGUGUCGGGUGUGAAAGCCCAUCGCUCAACGAUGGAACUGCAUCGGAAACUACAGAACUUGAGUGCAGGAGGGGAGAGCGGAAUUCUCAGUGUAGCGGUGAAAUGCGUUGAUAUUGAGAAGAACACCGGUGGCGAAGGCGGCUCUCUAGAAUGCAACUGACACUGAGGCACGCAAGCUGGGGGAGCAAACAGGAUUAGAUACCCUGGUAGUCCCAGCCGUAAACGGUGUGCACUUGGUGUGGGGAGGAUUGACCCUCUCCGUGCCGGAGUUAACGCGUUAAGUGCACCGCCUGGGGAGUACGGCCGCAAGGCUAAAACUCAAAGAAAUUGACGGGGGCCCGCACAAGCGGAGGAGCAUGUGGCUCAAUUCGAUGCAACGCGAAGAACCUUACCAGGGCUUGACAUGCAGCUGCAAGCCUCGUGAAAGCGAGGCCGCCUUCGAGGGUGCUGCACAGGUGCUGCAUGGCUGUCGUCAGUUCGUGCCGUGAGGUGUUGGGUUAAGUCCCGCAACGAACGCAACCCCUGUGACUAGUUGCUACCAUUGGUGAUAAGCCGAAGGGCACUCUAGUCAGACUGCCUGUGUUAAGCAGGAGGAAGGUGGGGAUGACGUCAAGUCAGUAUGGCCUUUAUGCCCUGGGCUGCACACGUGCUACAAUGGUCGGUACAGUGGGAAGCAAGACCGCGAGGUGGAGCAAAUCCCUUAAAACCGGCCUCAGUUCGGAUUGAAGGCUGCAACUCGCCUUCAUGAAGUCGGAUUCGCUAGUAACGGCGCAUCAGCUACGGCGCCGUGAAUACGUUCCCGGGCCUUGUACACACCGCCCGUCACAUCAUGAAAGCCGUCUGCACCAUACGUCGCUGAGCUAACCCGCAAGGGAGGCAGGUGCCUAAGGUGUGGGUGGUGAUUGGGAUGAAGUCGUAACAAGGUA